GCCUCUUUAGGCCACGGAGCCGUGCAGAUCCGGGUCUCCAGUGACCACUCUGUCCCCAUUGGGCGAGACCAACUCUGCCCCCAACGGACAAAGGCCUUAACAGGCCUGGGAGGUAAUAAAAGUCGGAGCUAAUAGAGAAAAAAAGCCUUCAGCAGGGACAAUGAGCAAAUUAGAUGCCUCUCUGCUCAGCGUGAGGUUUUUUCAGCUGCAAAAGUAAAAUGAAUCAACCACGGAAUUACCCCAAGAAACUAAUAGCUACUGCUGUAGUGGUAGAACAUUAAAUAUCUGGGCAAAUAAAUUUUACAUGUUCAAGCGAUGGAAUGACAGUGUUAUACUUAAUCUUUUAAUGAAAAUGGAUAAAUUGCUUAACAUUAUGGCUGACGAAUGAUUGAAGAAUGUCAAAAGAGUAAAGGAGCCACCUGGAAGGUCUCCCAAUGGCUAAAGCAGGAGAAUUUUGAGAAGAAAUAAAUAAAGUAGUAUUGAUGACA
rnacentral:lncRNA from 13 species